UUUACCCUAUCUUAUUUUGCAAAUCACAAAACUAGGUGUCUAAAGCAAGGAUUGAAAGCAUCGAUUGAAGGCAACACAGUAAGUUAUUUUCAAUCCUUAAUCUGAUCCACAUAUGAUUUUUUCAUAACCCUAAUUCUCAGCGAGGCAAUUCUCAUAUAUCUCUGAUUCAUCCUAAAUCGUUACCCUCUGAACUGGAUUUCGACCUUCAAACUUCAAAGAUCCAGAAAGAAUUUGAGUGCUAGGAUUUAUAAUGUUCUAUCUGAUGCUAGGAAAGCCGGUGGUACGUGGUUGCCUUCUUGAGCAGUAGUCUCAUUGGUUGGCGGUGAUGGGCGUGUGAGUGAAGAAAUUGGGACGAAUAGUAAUAACCAUUCAGAAUGCCAGCGUAUUAAGUACAAGUCUGAAUCCAGAAUUUUGUUGGUUGGUUCUGGAGCAGAUGAGCAAUCUGCUGGUUACGGCCCCCAUAAAACUAAUUACAAACAAAGCAGGUCAAGAUGGUUCAGCUGGGUUGAUCCAAAAUUCUUUUGUCCAAAACUGAUGGUUCCGAGUUAGGUCUGGGACAGGACAAGUAGUAACAUGUAUAGAGGAAAUGAGUUCUUGGAGGACUUGGGCAGUUUGGAACCAAGAAAACGGUGAAAAUCUUGUGUAAUUCGGUAUGAAGGGCGUAUGUUUGCAUUUACAUAGUUUUAGUUAUAUGUUAACAACUUUUCCAUUCUCAUCGCUAAUUAUGGUUAACUU
rnacentral:lncRNA from 1 species